CCUUGUAUAGAAACAGGCUAGGACGGAUGGGGUGGAUAGAACUAGGGAGAGAAGUGGAAAGAGGAGACAGACUCCCAGGAUUUGGAAAUUUGGGAGGAAAAAAAAAGAAGCAUUCUUUUCUGUCCUCUUCCGCAUAAAUUUCUCAAGGGCAAGGAAGCCCGAGGGACACCCCAUCCCAACACAGACAGGCACAACAGACAGUGAAGCCUCCUCUCUUGGAUGGAGAAGGAGAAGAGAAUUCAGGAUCCUACAAAACUUAACUGAGAGGAACUUCACUGGAGACGGGGUGAGGGAAAGUAUUUGGAAGGAGACGCCCUCCGGGGAAGAAGAGUCAUCACAGCCCAAUGGAAAGAUGAAAGUCUGGAUGAUUGGCAAUGGCCUGGGAUGCAGUGGAUGACCUUGUCAUCUUCGUGUCUGACCAAACUCUAAGCACGCCACAGCACAUG